rnacentral:lncRNA from 1 species
AUGCAAUGGAUUAUGUAGGAGGGUGGGCGAUGCCUGAGGCUCAUAGUUGUAGGAUGCACAUUUGAUAAUGACAUACUCAGCCACCAGGUCGAGCCACUAUAGGAGAAAUCUGAGAUAAGAUGAACGACUGGAAUGCUUCCAGACUCAAAUAUAGAUACAUGUCUGUAAGAAUAUUUGACAGUCAGGUUAUGAAGCCAGGGGAAGAGGAAAGACCUGAAAAUGGGGAAGGAAAAGCACAAAAUAAUAAAGAAAAAAGAGGGGAGAGAGGGAUUCGACCGCGCGGUCUUGUAGAUUCCAAAGAUUUUGAUACGUAUCGUAACCUAUGUCCCAGAAUGGAAACUAGAACAGCCUACUAGCUUCGCUUCAGUCACAACAGACGCCGUCACGUCUACUUCAAAGAUUCCUCGUAUAUGAUAAACUAAAGAAAACGAAGUCUUCUAUCCCGGGCCAGUA